GAGCGGCGAACGGGUGAGUAAUGUAUGUCUAACAUGCCCUUAGGUGGGGGAUAGCCAUUGGAAACGAUGAUUAAUACCCCAUAAGAUAUUUGACCGCAUGGUCGAAUGUUUAAAGAUGCGUUCGCAUCGCCAAGGAUUGGGACAUAUGACAUUAGAUAGUUGGUGAGGUAAUGGCUCACCAAGUCAGUGAUGUCUAGCCGGGGUGAGAGCCCGACCGGCCACAAUGGGACUGAGACACGGCCCAUACUCCUACGGGAGGCAGCAGUAGGGAAUUUUCCACAAUGGACGAAAGUCUGAUGGAGCAAUACCGCGUGAGGGAUGAAGCAUUUCGGUGUGUAAACCUCUGUUGUUGGGGAUGAACACCCUGUGUAGGAAAUGACACAGGCUUGACAUUACCCUUCCAGAAAGUCACGGCUAACUAUGUGCCAGCAGCCGCGGUAAUACAUAGGUGGCAAGCGUUAUCCGGAUUUAUUGGGUGUAAAGAGAGUACAGGCGGUUUUGUAAGUAGGAUGUUAAAUGCGGUGGCUCAACCAUCGUCUGCAUUCUAAACUGCAAGACUAGAAUAUCGGGGGGAUCAGUGGAAUUCCAUGUGUAGCGGUGGAAUGCAUAAAUAUAUGGAGGAACACCAAUGGCGAAGGCAGCUGAUUGAACGAUAAUUGACGCUUAAACUCGAAAGCGUGGGGAGCAAAUAGGAUUAGAUACCCUAGUAGUCCACGCCGUAAACGAUGUAGACUAGCUGUUACAGUGAUGUAGUGGCGCAGCUAACGCAUUAAGUCUACCACCUGGGGAGUACGUGCGCAAGCAUAAAACUCAAAGGAAUUGACGGGGACCAGCACAAGCGGUGGAGCAUGUGGUUUAAUUCGAUGAUACGCGAAGAACCUUACCUACACUUGACAUACUCGGCGAAGCUAUAGAGAUAUAGUGGAGGUUAACCGAUGUACAGGUGGUGCAUGGCUGUCGUCAGCUCGUGUCGUGAGAUGUUCGGUUAAGUCCGGCAACGAGCGCAACCCCUAUCCUAUGUUACUAACAUUUAGUUGAGGACUCAUGGGAGACUGCCUGGGUAACCAGGAGGAAGGUGGGGACGACGUCAAGUCAUCAUGCCCCUUAUGUGUAGGGCUACACACGUGCUACAAUGGUGAGGAACAAAGGGUCGCAAUACCGCAAGGUGGAGCCAAUCCCAUAAAACUCAUCUCAGUCCGGAUCGCAGUCUGCAACUCGACUGCGUGAAGUUGGAAUCGCUAGUAAUCGUAGGUCAGCAAUACUACGGUGAAUACGUUCUCUGGUCUUGUACACACCGCCCGUCAAACUACGGGAGUCGGCAAUGCCUAAUAUCCAUGUCUUAACCUUCGGGAGAGAGUGGCUUAGGGUAGGGUUGAUAACUGGAGUUAAGUCGUAACAAGGUAACC
rnacentral:rRNA from 1 species